CCAUCCCAUCUUAUAUAUAUAUAUAUAUAUAUAUAUAUAUAUAUAUAUAUGUACUUAUGUACUUCGUGCGUUACUGCUAGUCCCCAUGGAUAAUAAAUA
rnacentral:ncRNA from 1 species